rnacentral:rRNA from 1 species
UACGUAGGGUGCAAGCGUUAAUCGGAAUUACUGGGCGUAAAGCGUGCGCAGGCGGUGAUGUAAGACAGAUGUGAAAUCCCCGGGCUCAACCUGGGAACUGCAUUUGUGACUGCAUCGCUGGAGUACGGCAGAGGGGGAUGGAAUUCCGCGUGUAGCAGUGAAAUGCGUAGAUAUGACACAGAACACCGAUUGCGAAGGCAGCUCACUAAGCCAUAACUGACGCUGAUGCACGAAAGCGUGGGGAGCAAACAGG